rnacentral:rRNA from 1 species
CUUCCAGACUCCUACGGGAGGCAGCAGUGGGGGAUAUUGGACAAUGGGGGAAACCCUGAUGCAGCAACGCCGUGUGAGUGAAGAAGCGUUUCGGCAUGUAAAUCUCUGUCAGCGGGGAAGAAAGAAGACGGUACCCGACCAAGAAGCCCCGGCUAACUACGUGCCAGCAGCCGCGGUAAUACGUAGGGGGCGAGCGUUAUCCGGAAUUACUGGGUGUAAAGGGAGCGUAGACGGCGAAGUAAGCCUGAAGUGGAAGCCCGCGGCCCAACCGCGGAACUGCUUUGGGAACUGUUUUGCUGGAGUAUGGGAGGGGUAAGCGGAAUUCCUGGUGUAGCGGUGAAAUGCGUAGAUAUCAGGAGGAACACCGGUGGCGAAGGCGGCUUACUGGACCAUGACUGACGUUGAGGCUCGAAAGCGUGGGGAGCGAACAGGAUUAGAUACCCUUGUA